AUUCGCGGCCUAUCAGCUUGUUGGUGGGGUGAUGGCCUACCAAGGCGACGACGGGUAGCCGGCCUGAGAGGGCGACCGGCCACACUGGGACUGAGACACGGCCCAGACUCCUACGGGAGGCAGCAGUGGGGAAUAUUGCACAAUGGGCGCAAGCCUGAUGCAGCGACGCCGCGUGAGGGAUGACGGCCUUCGGGUUGUAAACCUCUUUCAGCAGGGAAGAAGCUUCGGUGACGGUACCUGCAGAAGAAGCACCGGCUAACUACGUGCCAGCAGCCGCGGUAAUACGUAGGGUGCAAGCGUUGUCCGGAAUUAUUGGGCGUAAAGAGCUCGUAGGCGGUGUGUCGCGUCUGCUGUGAAAACUCAGGGCUUAACUCUGAGCUUGCAGUGGGUACGGGCAUACUUGAGUGCUGUAGGGGAGACUGGAAUUCCUGGUGUAGCGGUGAAAUGCGCAGAUAUCAGGAGGAACACCGGUGGCGAAGGCGGGUCUCUGGGCAGUUACUGACGCUGAGGAGCGAAAGCAUGGGGAGCGAACAGGAUUAGAUACCCUGGUAGUCCAUGCCGUAAACGUUGGGCGCUAGGUGUGGGGUCCAUUCCACGGAUUCCGUGCCGCAGCUAACGCAUUAAGCGCCCCGCCUGGGGAGUACGGAAU
rnacentral:rRNA from 1 species